GGGAGUCGGGGAGUAAGGGAAUAGGAGGAAGACGCUGGGAUGAUCAAGAAGGCUUCGACUUCAUCAUCCUCGUGCAUCCGUCGCUGCUACCAUCAUCGAUCAGAGCUGCUGCGCGUGGAGAGAAGGGGAGACGAUGUCGCUGUCUCUGUUUGGGAUCGCCGCCGCCGUUCAAGUCACUACAAGAGGAGAACGCCACUGCGUGAAGUGGGGUGAUGAGCGAAGUAGAACGCGUACAGGAAGAAGGAGAACACGACGACUAGGAGGAGGCAGCGCCGCUGCCGUUGCUACUAGGGUUUGUCUUUGGAAUUCCUGGUCGCCGCUAUCGUUAUGGGUGAGUCAAUUCUGUCCUAGCUACUAGAGUUACCAUUUCUGAACCCUUGUCGCUUUGAAAUGAUCCUGUCUCGGCCUCUAAUAUUCCUAAUUAUACUGUAUUCGUUGGAAUCGCCACAAUUGGAGCUCAUCGCUAGAGAAGACAAACUGUUGCGCCAUCUUCUUCAUUUUGACUCUGAACCUCCAUUCUAACCCUUGACACCAGAAACAAAUGAGAGAGAGAAU